AUGUGCCUGAAGAAACAGGACCUGUACAUCAAGUUCAAGGGACGCGUGCAGGUGGCCUCUGCCAGUGCCAGGUCCCCCUGGGCUGAGUCCCAGUACCUGGAUUACCUUUUUGAAGUGGAGCUGGGCCCGCCCAUCCUGGUGGUCACUCUGAGGGAGAAGAUCCUGAGUAUCAAUGCCACCUACCAGCUGCCGCCUUGCACACCCACCCUGGAUCUGCAGUAUGAGGUGCAAUUCUGGAAGGAGGGCAUUGGAAACAAGACCCUAUUUCCAGCCACUGCCCAUGGCCAGCCCAUCCAGAUCCUGCUCCAGCCUUUGGCCCGCGGAUGCCACUGCCUCAGCGCCAGAACCAUCUACACCCUCAUCUCCCCCAAGUACAGCAGCUUCUCAGAGCCCCACUGCCUCUCUCUGGGGGCCCCAGGGGCCAACUGGACAGACCUGGUACUGUGCUCACUCCCGCUACUGUUCUUGGUAGUUGUCAUAGCGGGUGUGAUGUGGAAGAACCUGAAGGGCGACCCCUGGUUCCAUGGGGUGAAGACACCGAGGGCCCUGGACUUUUCGGGAUACAGACACCCGCUGGCAGCCUUUCAGCGGGGUGGACCAGAGUCCUUGGAUGAGUUAUUCCUCUGUCCCCAAAAGAAGCUGACUGGAAGGGUCAGGCUGGCCCCUCCAGUCAGGGCCCCGGCCACCCUGCAGUCGGGAUCAGAGGAUAGCGCUGCAGAUGAGGAGGAUGAGGACACAGAUGACAGGGUCAGCAUCCAGCCCUACAUGGAGCAGCCCUCCUUCCUGGGGCAGGAGCUCCAGCCUCUGGGGCUGUCUGAGGCAGAUGAGUCUGGGGUGGACUCAGGGGGCCCCUGGACACCUGUGGGCCAGAGAGAAGGCUCCUCAGCCUGGGAUUCUUCAGACAGGAGCUGGCCCAGCACCAGGGACUCCUUGCUCUGGGAUGAGGCUGAGUCCUCCUGCUACUUGGCCAAGAAGGGGCUGGGCCAAGGGGCAGGUGGCAACGAUCAUCAGGAGCCACUCCCGUGCCCAGAAUGCUCCAAGGACUUGGGCACCCUGAAAGGGCCCCUGAAGGAUGGCCGCUCCUCAUGGGCCAGCUGGGGAUCCUCAUCCCCGGGAUGGAGUCUGGUCUCGGGGGAGCCCCUAGUUUCUCUUCAGACACUGACCUUCUGCUGGUACAGCAGACCUGAGGAGGAAGAGGAGGAGGAAGAGGAAGCUGAGAAGGAAUCUGGAUCUAAGGACAGCAGCAGCUGCAGCUGGCAGGCUGGGAGCUCCCUGAGGACUGAGGUCAGGGAUGGGAUGCUGGGACCUUACAUGGCCAGGUGAGCUGGGUCCAGCUGUCCCUGGGGACCCAGAACACCGCCCAGGCUCGACAGCCAUACAGCCAUGUUUCCCACUGAGGCUGCUGAAGGUUCCUUUGGCACUUCGGGAUUGCCUAGACAACAUGAAGCAGGUGAGGCCAGGUCACUGUGGCCACUGCAGGCUGACACAAGGGGCCAUCUGGAACUAGGGAGGGCUGGCCCCACUAGAGGCACAUCUGGGUGUAUUGCUGCCUUUCCCAGCACCUGCCAAGCUCCUGCUCUCCCAAGCCUCAGCCUCCUGACUGAGCGAUUGUGUCCCUUAGAGUGACUCCCCAUAAGGAAAGAUCCAGCUGGCUGAGGGAGUUGUGGGGGAGGGAAAGGGAAGCAUCCUUUAUAAUCUGGUCUUUGGAGUCUUAGCAUUGCUGGGGUUUUUUUGUUGUUUUUUUUGUUUGUUUAUUUGUUUGUUUAGCAUUGCUGUUUUUAAUACCAGACAGAACUGGAUUCAAAUCCCAGCUCUGCCGUUUGCCAGCUGUGCAGCUUGAUUAAGCCGCUCUCAUUCUCUGUACCUCAGUUUCCUCAUCUGCAGCUACUACCCAGGUGUGGUAGGAUGCAGGGAGAUCUCAGGUGCGUAUGGUGCAGGGGCUGCCAUGGCACUGAUGCUGUCCACAUGUGGCUGGCAAGAGCCUCCAUCUCCCAGGCUGCAAGGAGACCCUGGGCCUCCCCCACCUGUGACCCUGACCCUAGAGUGCCCCCAGCUCCUAGACAAGGUGCUAAGUUCUCAGAAGCCAGAGCUUCAACCAAGGGCAUCCCAGGCCCUCCUGCUCUUCCCUUGUCUCAUCUGUACCCCUUCUUCUCUCUGUGGCCCAGGCCCUGCCACUUAGCCCUUAAUGACUUCACUCUGAGGUGCACAAAAGACCUUCACAUCCACUUGACCAGAGGGCUAUGUUGUUCUGAAGCCAGCAUGAGGUACAGGGCCACAGGCACAUCUGGGAAGGUUUCUCCAUGGCCUCCACUCCAGAGGCUCUCACACCCUGUCCCCAAAGGCCUUGGGUCUUGGCCGUGGGGUGAGGGGCUCAGAAACCUGGUCAUCUAGCCGGAGCAGCAUCACUGUGCCUGGUCUAUGCACAGUGGCUUUGCAGGUGAGGUCUGUCAGGGGGUCCCGCUGCCAAAGAAAAGUUUGUACACCGCUUUUUUUUUGUUUUGUUUUGGGGUUUUUUGGUACCGGGGAUUGAACUCGGGUCCUUGCGCUUGCACAGCAGGCGGCGAAACCACUGAGCUAAAUCCCCGGCCCUGUACACCACUUUUUUAAUGAAUACCUAUCUUGUUUCAGACAAACAGGCCAAGGUCAGAGAGGCAAAAGCACCUGCCCAGGUCACUGGGCAACAUGUGUCCCCAAGGCUGAGUGCUUGGAUCUCUCUGCCCAGCUGAGGUAACCUUUGACCCCUUCUUGGCCAUGUCAACAAACUACGUAGGUCUCAGCCAGGAUUUCCAAGGGUCACUAAGCUGGCAGGAGGCCUUUAUUGCCACUGCUGGGGCACACGCUCACUCAUGCACGUAGACGCGCGUGCACACACGCACACACACACACACACACACACGCACGCACGCACGAUCAGGCACGCGUACAUCUUCCCAGGGCUCUUUUCUGUGCUCCUUUUGUCCACAUUGUUAAGCUCAAAGGAAGAAGAGCAAACCGAAGCGAUGGUGCUUGGGAAGGGCUAUGGCUCAGGCUGGGUCCCAGAAAUGCCCAGACCAGACCAAGGCUGCCAUCCCUUCUGGGACUGGCUGAGCUGCUUUGAAGAACUUUCAAAAAAUGAAAAGUUUUUGUCGCUACAGUAUUGUCUUAGGCUUGAAUGAAAUACUUUAUUUCUACUCUCCAACUUUGUUAGUUUUUAAAAGAAAUUUUUUUCCCAAAGUUUCAAGUCUGAAAAAGCCUGCACUUUUUAGUAAUUCCAAAUUCCAGCUCCUUGCAGUCGUUAGGUCAUUUACAAAACACUGUGGGAAGCAAGAGGAAGGGACAUACAAUAAUUGGUCCAUGGUGCUCAGUGUCAGCACUCACCUGUUUACAAAGCCCCAUGGAGCACACAGCUGCUGGGGACACUGGUGUGGGUGGGGCCACACUGAAGGGCAUCAGGGAAAAGUGAGUCAUGCCUGAGGUUACAGUGGCAUGUGGCUCUUAGCAUGCAGACAAGACUCUAUUGUUCUUACACAUUUUAUUUAUGUCUCAUUUUGUUCUAUGUUUAUAUCGUAUUUAAAUAAUAAUCUAAAGUUCGAGGGUAUGUUACCCUAAACUUUUAAAUAAAGGCUCUAUUUUUACAGAAAAGAUAGAAUUGAAUGGAGAUGUGUUUGCUUUUAUCUUUUCUCACAAUUCAACUGUUAAGAUUACAGGGGUAGCUGGGCGGGGUGGUGCACGCCUGUAAUCCCAGCAUUCAGGAAGCUGAAUAGGAGGAUUUCUGCAAGUUUGAGGCCAGCCUGGACUACACAGUAAGACUGUGUCUCAAAAAAGAAAGAAAGAAAGAACAACGAUUACAGGGGCCUGGGGCUGGGUACCCAGAAAUAAACUCAGAGGCAAGGCUUUUUGUAUAGAACAACCCAUGGUCCGGGUGACCGUAUAGGGGUGGAGAAAGCAGGCAGGAAGGGAAGGCAGCCACUCAGUCUGUAAUCAAAUGGUUGUGGGUAUUGGGGACCCUGCCUAUGGGAGCUUUGG
rnacentral:lncRNA from 1 species